UACAGAGGUCUCAAGCGUUGUUCGGAAUCACUGGGCGUAAAGGGUGCGUAGGCGGCGGGGACAGUCAGAUGUGAAAUCCGGAGGCUCAACCUCCGAAUUGCAUCCGAUACUCCCUCGCUAGAGAUUUGUAGAGGAGCUUGGAAUUCUCGGUGUAGCAGUGAAAUGCGUAGAUAUCGAGAAGAACGCUCGCAGCGAAGGCGAAGCUCUGGGCAAAUUCUGACGCUGAUGCACGAAGGCUAGGGGAGCAAACGGG
rnacentral:rRNA from 1 species